rnacentral:rRNA from 1 species
UACGGAGGGUGCAAGCGUUAUCCGGAUUCACUGGGUUUAAAGGGUGCGUAGGCGGGCAGGUAAGUCCGCGGUGAAAUCCUGGGGCUUAACCCCAGAACUGCCGCUGAUACUAUCUGUCUUGAAUACUGUGGAGGUGAGCGGAAUAUGUCAUGUAGCGGUGAAAUGCUUAGAUAUGACAUAGAACACCAAUUGCGAAGGCAGCUCACUACACAGCCAUUGACGCUGAGGCACGAAAGCGUGGGGAUCAAACAGG